CAAAGUAUCUUCUGCCCACUGAUUUGACUAAAUGGCCGCAGUACCCUGACUGUGCAAAGGUAGCGUGAUUUUUUGUUUUCUUAAUUUGAAAUCUGUUCAAAGAAUGAUAUGUCGAAAAUCUCUUGUUACUUGUUUUCUAUAACUUGAAUUUAUAGUGAAAAUUCUAUAUUAUUCCCGAAAGACGAGAAGACCCCAUAAAGCUUAAUUAGACUUCUAUCCUUUGUUAGAUUUAUAAUUUGUAUGGGGCCUACAGAGUUUAAAUUUGACUCGUGUACCCUUUGACCUAUUUUAUAUUCUAUGAGAAGCUACUUUGGGGAUAACAGGAUAACGUUUUCGGAGAGUUCUUAUCGAUGAAGGCAAUUAUUACCUCGAUGUGGAUUAUCUUUUCA
rnacentral:rRNA from 1 species